UUCCAGACUCCUACGGGAGGCAGCAGUGGGGAAUAUUGCACAAUGGGGGAAACCCUGAUGCAGCAACGCCGCGUGAAGGAAGACGGUUUUCGGAUUGUAAACUUCUGUUCUUAGUGAAGAAGAAUGACGGUAGCUAAGGAGCAAGCCACGGCUAACUACGUGCCAGCAGCCGCGGUAAUACGUAGGGGGCAAGCGUUAUCCGGAUUUACUGGGUGUAAAGGGAGCGUAGACGGCAGCACAAGUCUGAAGUGAAAUGCCGGGGCUUAACCCCGGAACUGCUUUGGAAACUGUGCAGCUAGAGUGCAGGAGAGGUAAGUGGAAUUCCUAGUGUAGCGGUGAAAUGCGUAGAUAUUAGGAGGAACACCAGUGGCGAAGGCGGCUUACUGGACUGUAACUGACGUUGAGGCUCGAAAGCGUGGGGAGCAAACAGGAUUAGAUACCCUGGUA
rnacentral:rRNA from 1 species